rnacentral:rRNA from 1 species
UACAGGGGGUGCAAACGUUGCUCGGAAUCCUUGGGCGUAAAGCGCACGUAGGCGGUUCGUUAUGUCGGAUGUGAAAGCCCUUGGCUUAACCGAGGAAGUGCAUCCGAAACUGGCGAGCUAGAGUACUAAAGAGGAUCGCGGAAUUCCCGGUGUAGAGGUGAAAUUCGUAGAUAUCGGGAGGAACACCGGUGGCGAAGGCGGCGAUCUGGGUAGAUACUGACGCUGAGGUGCGAAAGCGUGGGGAGCAAACAGG